CUAAAAAUCUGUUCUUUUCUCUCGCCCAAUCCAUUGCGAGCAUCCAAAAAUAUCUUUUCACUUUUACCGGUAAAAAAUCAGAAACCCUAGUUACUCUACAAUCCUCGAGGACCGAUUGGCCGACGCUCGAACAACCGUACAGCUUCAAUUGUCCCAUUUCCAUCCCAAGAAGUAUAAAAUAUAAAUCCAUAGUUUAUUUUACUGUAAUUCUUAUGUUGAUUUCUGUUACAUUCUGUUUGGCUGUUCACAGAACGUAUUUUGCGCACAGUUAACAAUUUACACAAUUUUACUUCAUUUUUUUUUUUUUUUAAAUUUAGCGUUAUCAGGUUCGAUUUUGUCAAUUUCAGGAUUAUUUUUUGUGUAUUGUUGAGAUGAGUUGUUUUUUGAUUUUUUUCCCUUUUCAUAGGGAUCUAUGAUGGCGGACGAGACGUUGAUCAACGGUGAAAACUCUGAUGAUCGGACGGUGGAAAUUACUGGGGAUGAAGUUUCGUCUAAAAUUUCAGUUCUCAGCCAAAAGAUCGAUAGACUUGAGCAGGAAAAUGAGAAGAUAAUUUCCGAGAACAAGAAGUACAAGGAGAGGAUUGAGGAAUUGACGGCCUCUGUAAAAAAUUUGGAUGCAAAAAAUGUGGAGUUGAAAAAACAGGUUGAAAGUUCUGAAUCUGAGAACAAGGCUCUUGGGGCAGUGGCGGCUCGAGCUGCGGAGCUUGAAGCCGAAGUGGCACGCAUGCAUCACGACUUGGGAUCUGCGAUGAGUGAUUUGCAAGAAUCAAAUGUGGAAUUAUCAGAGGUGAAAAAGGAUUUGGAGGAAAUGAACGGAAGGAAUAAGGAGAAGGAUGUUAAGCUUGCGGCAAUUGAGAAGGAGAGGGAUUUGUUGAUGGUGAAGGUCAGUGAAUUGGAGGAGAAAAAGAGCGAUUUCAGGAAUGAAAUGGAAGAGAAGGAAAAGGAGAUUCGAGGUUUGAAGAAGAAAGUUGAGGAAUUGGAGGCUGUGGUGGGAAAGAAUGAGGGAUUGGAGAAGUUGAAAAAUGAGUUGGAAAAAGAGGUUGAGGAAAUGGAAAGGAAAAAUGGAGUUUUGGAGAGUAAAUUGGUUGAGGAAGUGAAGGCAAAGGAAAAAUUGAUUAUGGAAGGUGUUAAUGGUGGUAUUAAUAGGGAUUUUGUGGUCGACAAAGAAAAAAAGGGCUUGAUUGGUGGUCCAAAGGAAAGGGAUUGGGCGGUAAUGGUGGGAUCAGCUGUUGCUGCCGCUUCGGUGUUAGGUGUUGCCUGCUAUUUUCGACAUGUCUCUAGUAAGCACUAAGCAACGAUUGGAUGCACGCAAACAUGCAGGAGUUAGAGGUUAGGAGAGCUCUAUUCUAACCCAAGAAAAAAGAGUUUUCGAUUUUGAUAAGUUCUAUUUCUUUUGUUUGUUUGGGUUUCUAUCUUCUGAGUUUGGUGAUUUUAGUUGAUACCAGUAGUAACCUUUUAAUAAUAUUAUUGUUGGCUAGUACUUGAACAAUAUAUAUUUUGUUUAGAAACCUUCAGGCUGGGGAAUAUACUGUGGUGAUUAUGGUGAAUGUGACUUACUGAAAUUUGGAUAUUAUGAGAUCAAAUAUGCGUGGAAUGAUUUUUGAGUUUGGACUGCUCACUGCUUGAAAUUUGUAUAUGUUUCUAUGGAUGUCACCGUAAAAUUUUAUUGCGGUGCUUUAUUUUGGCUUACAGUUACUUUACGACAUCAUAUUGAUAUGAAUAGUGCGGAUUUAUCAGUGUUGUGUUAUGAGAUCAAUCCUUGCUUUUAUGGAAGAGGAAAAUUUGUUUGGAACUUCAUAUGGUACUUUCUAGGAAAUUGUUGACGUGUUCUCCAAAUUGGUUGAGUCCGGUGAUAUAUCUCAUCCAUAAUACUAUUAAUUGUUAUGAUCUUAUUUUGAGUUCUGCAUUUAGGGAGUUUGGCAUUCUUUUGUGGUUAUCGCAUGUGAACUUUUC
rnacentral:lncRNA from 1 species